AGGGCUCCCUGCUGUUGGUGGUCUCCCGGCUGUAGGUGGUCUCCCGGCUGUUGGCGGGCUCCCUGCUGUUGGAGGAGGGCUUCCUCCUGUAGGCGGGCUUCCUGCCGUAGGAGGAGGUCUGCCGGGCGUUGGCGGAGUGCUUCCCCCUGUAGGCGGGCUUCCUGCUGUAGGCGGAGGAGGGCUGCCGGGUGUGGGCGGAGGACUUCCCCCUGUAGGACUUCCCCCUGUAGGUGGUCUUCCUGCUGUAGGAGGAGGGCUG
rnacentral:misc_RNA from 1 species